rnacentral:rRNA from 1 species
GCACGCUCUGUUUACACAUCCACUCACACCUGUGCACCCUCUGUAGUUCUAUGGUUUGGGGGACCCUGUCUUCCUUCUGUGGUUCUACGUCUUUACACACACACUGUAAUAAAGUUUUAUGGAAUGUACAUCGCGUCUGACGCAAUACAAUACAACUUUCAGCAACGGAUCUCUUGGCUCUCGCAUCGAUGAAGAACGCAGCGAAAUGCGAUAAGUAAUGUGAAUUGCAGAAUUCAGUGAAUCAUCGAAUCUUUGAACGCACCUUGCGCCCCUUGGCUAUUCCGAGGGGCAUGCCUGUUUGAGUAUCAUGAACACCUCAACUCUCAUGGUUCGCCAUGAUGAGCUUGGACUCUGGGGGUUUUGCUGGCCUGUGGUCAGCUCCUCUCAAAUGAAUCAGCCUCCCAGUGUUUGGUGGCAUCACGGGUGUGAUAAAUAUCUACGCUCGCUGUUGUCUGCCAGGUAACCUUUGGUCACAAAGGUUUGCUGGAGCUCACAGAUGUCUCU